UCGGUAGACGCUACGGACUUAAAUUUUGAGCCUUAGUAGAGAAAUCUACUAAGUGACUGUUUUCACAUUCAGGGAAACCUAAGGUUUGAGAUACGAGGUAAUCCUGAGCCAAAUUUUAGUUAUGAAAUAGGUGCAGAGACUCGAAGGAAACUAUCCUAACGAAAUUUUUUUCUCUAUUUUUUUAUUACGAGUAUUAAUUCAGUGCACAGUAUAAAAUAUAUUCGAAAUAAUAAAAAUAUCUGAAUACUAAUAUGAAUAUUAGUUUAUAAAUAAAUUAUAACGAGGAUAAAGAUAGAGUCCUUUUUUACAAUCUAUAUAAUUUUUAUUUAUAGGUAAUUGUAAAAAGAAAAUCCGUUGGCUUUAAUAGACCUUGAGGGUUCAAGUCCCUCUACCCCCA
rnacentral:tRNA from 1 species